AGCGAACGCUGGCGGCAGGCCUAACACAUGCAAGUCGAACGAACUCUUCGGAGUUAGUGGCGGACGGGUGAGUAACACGUGGGAACGUGCCUUUAGGUUCGGAAUAACUCAGGGAAACUUGUGCUAAUACCGAAUGUGCCCUUCGGGGGAAAGAUUUAUCGCCUUUAGAGCGGCCCGCGUCUGAUUAGCUUGUUGGUGGGGUAAUGGCCCACCAAGGCGACGAUCAGUGGCUGGUCUGAGAGGAUGACCAGCCACAUUGGGACUGAGACGCGGCCCAAACUCCUAGGGGAGGCAGCAGUGGGGAAUCUUGCGAAAUGGGCGAAAGCCUGACGCAGCCAUGCCGCGUGGAUGAUGAAGGUCUUAGGAUUGUAAAAUCCUUUCACCGGUGAAGAUAAUGACUGUAGCCGGAGAAGAAGCCCCGGCUAACUUCGUGCCAGCAGCCGCCGUAA
rnacentral:rRNA from 1 species